GGCAACCCUGACGGAGCAACGCCGCGUGGGGGAGGAAUGUCUGUGGAUUGUAAACCCCUUUUCUCAGGGAAGAAGCUCUGACGGUACCUGAGGAAUCAGCAUCGGCUAACUCCGUGCCAGCAGCCGCGGUAAUACGGAGGAGGCAAGCGUUAUCCGGAAUGAUUGGGCGUAAAGCGUUCGUAGGUGGCAAUUCAAGUCUGCUGUCAAAGACAGUAGCUCAACUACUGCAAGGCAGUGGAAACUGAAUAGCUAGAGUGCGGUAGGGGCAGAGGGAAUUCCCGGUGUAGCGGUGAAAUGCGUAGAGAUCGGGAAGAACACCGGUGGCGAAAGCGCUCUGCUGGGCCGCAACUGACACUGAGGGACGAAAGCUAGGGGAGCG
rnacentral:rRNA from 1 species